AUUGAACGCUGGCGGCAUGCUUUACACAUGCAAGUCGAACGGUAACAGGCCGCAAGGUGCUGACGAGUGGCGAACGGGUGAGUAAUGCAUCGGAACGUGCCCAGUCGUGGGGGAUAACUACUCGAAAGAGUAGCUAAUACCGCAUACGAUCUAUGGAUGAAAGCGGGGGACCGUAAGGCCUCGCGCGAUUGGAGCGGCCGAUUUCAGAUUAGGUAGUUGGUGGGGUAAAGGCUCACCAAGCCAACGAUCUGUAGCUGGUCUGAGAGGACGACCAGCCACACUGGGACUGAGACACGGCCCAGACUCCUACGGGAGGCAGCAGUGGGGAAUUUUGGACAAUGGGCGCAAGCCUGAUCCAGCAAUGCCGCGUGCAGGAAGAAGGCCUUCGGGUUGUAAACUGCUUUUAUACGGAACGAAACGGCUCUGGUUAAUACCCGGGGCUAAUGACGGUACCGUAAGAAUAAGCACCGGCUAACUACGUG
rnacentral:rRNA from 1 species